GUUUAGCAACUAUGCUGGUGUAUUCUUCUACACAGGCAUAAAAGAAGUUACAAGGGAAAUUUCCAUCAAGGAUUAUGUAGAGGAAUCAUGGAGCAAACAUCGUUUAGCUAUACUAUGGGCUGCCAUAUUCCUCAUCAUGUUGACAUAAAUAAAUUGAGUAAUCCCAAAAUUUGAAAUUAGCUGCAUUACAUCAGAAAUAUUUCCUGCAAUGGACAGAGUGCAAUCUACUCUGUGGUGCAAGGCUUGGAUGGUUACUAAAGAAUCCCCUUCUACCAGGAUGCAAGAAAAACCUCUCAAUGUAGACAUUCAAAUUGCUUCCCAGCAUGCAAAAGCCUCUAGAGUUAAAUGGUCAACUAUCCCUACAAACUGGUGACAAGUUUCUCUGUAACCACUUAUAAGCAAAUAGGUUGCAUAGGUUCUACAAAGGGCAAAACAGAACCAAAAGAGUAACUUUGCCAAGAGCCCAAUAAGGGGAAAACAGCAAUCAGUAGCCUAAGCAGCAAUAGUGUGUCCCUAACACUUCUUGUCCGGCUCAAUUUGCCUUUGUUUUGUUGCUUUGGGAGCUCAUCUG
rnacentral:misc_RNA from 1 species